rnacentral:lncRNA from 1 species
UCAUCUCAUGCCAACUAUUCUUGAUCAUAAUUAAAUAUUAACAUCAACAAUAUGCAAGAGCAUAGUGCAUUUAGUGCAUCAUUUUAUGUUUAUACAAUAUACAUGAUGAUCAAUCAAGUACCAUAUGUUAAGAACUGAAGCCUCUAUAACAUAAGUUGAAUUUGAAGAUUGCAGAAACUAUGAGAAGCAGAUGGAAUUGCAAAUAGUUUAUAAAAAAAUGAAAACAUAAGUAACAAAGAAGGCCACUUGUAUCUUCAAAUAGCACAGGUCCCUGCAAAUCUUCUAAAGCAUUGUGGCAUAUUGUUAAUCCAAAGGACACUAACAAAAUUCCAAGAACUAAAGGAAGUUGGUGUGGCUCACAUUUAGCUUUACUUGAAGAUAACAAAUCUGCUUAUGACCAGAUAAUAAAAUACCAGCAAGCUCAUCUAGCUGCAGCCAGCGAGGUCUGAAUGCCGAGUUCUCUAAAGAAAGAAUAGGAAAAUCCUUAGCGAUCUUGAAACUUUUCAGUUCAAAAAGACAUAGUAGUACAGUAGCAUUUUGAGCUAAAGAAAUCUUUAAAUAAAGAAAACUUGCAAUCUGGAAACUUUUCAGUUCAAGAAGGCAUAGUAGUAUAGUAACAUUUUGAGCUGAAGAAAUCUUUAAAUAAGGAAAACUUGCUUUGGUGAUGUCCUUGUGUAGGAAUUGCAAAUAAUAAUUCCAAAUUUUUAUUAUACUUUGAAAAAGGAAGCAUCCAUUAUUACAGCACGAAGAUAUGAGAAAACCAAGCCUAUAAGAAUCUAAUCUGUCAUUUACAACAUAGUAGUGGUACCUGAAAUUAAAAUGUACCAAGACAUGAAAAUUUCACUUUUGCCUUAGAGGACUACAUACAGAAUUCUGAGAUGAUGUGGGAAGAAAGAUCACCGAGCUAUUUCAGAUCCUGUAAAUUGAAGGUUGUUUCAUAUCCUGCAGCCGAAAUAACAUAAAGCAAAAGCAGUAAAAUUAUAAUUAGACCGUCUAAGUUAAAUAGGUAAAUGUGCAGCGAGAAUGUUGAAAAAACAAAGACGCCGCUCAAAUCCCCUCGUAUCCACAAAUUCACAAGCUAACUGCACAUUAUAGGAAGUACUUUGCAUUGAGGAAAAAUGAUAAUUGCUUCGAUAGUUCGGUAGACGCAAAAUUUUAUGGAUAUUUGCUCACAUAUCUAAAUGCCAUGCUUCUUGUGCUUCAUAUGUAGCUAAAAUUCCUUGUGAUGUUUUCUAGAACAAGGAACAAAUCAUGUUUCUUGUGGGCCUUGAGAACUCAAAUGUAAUAUGUGCCAUUGUCAUCAUGUUUUUCGUAUCCACAAAAUAUAUAGAGUUAACAUAAUAGUAAGAUGGUUUAGUUAUAGUUGGUCGGAUUUGCCUUUAAAUCAAUUUAACACUAUGAAUGACUUGAAAUAGUCUAAUGCUCCAGAUACAGUUUCAUUUGUUGGGAUUGGAAUUCAAAUUAAAGGGAAUAGGAUGUGAGCAUCAAGAAGGUGAGAACAUAUCCUCCAAUUCACAGAUUCACUUAUUUUCUUCAGUAGAGAUAUGUUUCUCAGCUUCUCCAAAUACCAUGUGACAUGAAUUUACGAUUAAAUAUCAUGAGAUCAAGGACAAUGUAAAUCUAGUGUUCAAUGACGUACCUGACAGGAAGGUCAGGGAACUGUACCACCAAGCCCCAUGCCAGUAUAGUUUCUAGCAUCUCGACUCUUUCCCGUGAUAUUGAAAAGCUCGACAUCAAAAUUAAAUAACAUCAAAAAAUAUUUUUUAUCAGGCUUGACUCCAUGAU